AAUUCGUGGUGCAGGCAUUUUUGAAUCAACAUUUUGAAACGUUCCCACACCUCAUAGAAAAUUUUUCCUUCCAUCUGUCUAAAGACAGUAAUCUCUUGUCUAAGCU
rfam:Gossypium raimondii chromosome 5, whole genome shotgun sequence.